rnacentral:rRNA from 1 species
UAAGACGAGUACGUCGACGACGAGCGCAGGCGAGAGCGUAGCCGACAUUACGCGAUUCCAAGGGCAUAGCACAUGCAAACUUGGACGCUGAGUGCUGAGCAGGCGAUGAGAGUGGCGAACGGGCGAGUAACGCGUGAGCAACCUACCUCGUACUGGGGGAUAACGUCGGGAAACCGGCGCUAAUACCGCAUAAGACUACGAUGCCGCAUGGCAAUGUAGUCAAAGCUCCGGUGGUACGAGACGGGCUCGCGUCCGAUUAGCUAGUUGGUAGGGUAAUGGCCUACCAAGGCGACGAUCGGUAGCCGGACUGAGAGGUCGGCCGGCCGCAUUGGGACUGAGACACGGCCCAGACUCCUACGGGAGGCAGCAGUGGGGAAUAUUGCGCAAUGGGGGAAACCCUGACGCAGCGACGCCGCGUGAAGGAAGAAGGCCUUCGGGUUGUAAACUUCUUUGAUCGGGGACGAAGGAAGACGGUACCCGGGGAACAAGCCACGGCUAACUACGUG